rnacentral:lncRNA from 1 species
ACCGAUCUCCGAACCUUCGCCCAGUUCCGAUUACGACGGAGUGACUGAAGAUCCGGUUACAAGUAAUCUCUUUGCUUUCUUCUUACUCUUUUUUUCCUUUUUAGCACAUAAUCAAUGAAUAUUAUAACGAAAGAGAAUAACCAGAGAAAAUGAAAAAAUAACUUGGCAAUCACCUUUUGAAUAUUUUUCUUUAUUUCUGUAUUCAAUCUCUCUCUAUGUAAAAGAGCCCCCAUUUCAGUGUUACAAUUGGCUUUUUAUAGCCAAAAAUAAAAAAUACAGAAAAAUCCCGAAAAUUUUCUCUUUUCUGUUGCGUUUUCUGUCAUUGUUUGUCGCUAUGUGUUUGCUGCCUUUGUUGCUUUUGUUGCGUUGCAGGUAUGGGUACAGAAGUCGUAUGGAGGCCAGCUGGAGGCUCGUGGUGGCGCUACGUGCGUGAGGAGGCUACUGUUGUGGCGCGCACUAGGGCUGAAUGCUGCUAGGGUUUGCUGCUGUGUAUUCUGGUGUUGGGCCAUUUGGGCUGAGUUGAUUUGUUGGGCUUAGAAUCGGGUUUAGGUCGGGCUAGAUUAAUGGGUUGUUUAU